rnacentral:lncRNA from 1 species
UAUCUUCAUAUGCAUAUUAAAGUUGAGGUUUUCCUGCUAUAAAAGCUGACAUAGGAUCAUACGGGAUAUUACAAAUUACUCUGUUUAUUUGUGGAUUGAUGUGGAUUGUAAAUGAUAUUUACAAUUUUGAUGAAAGUAGCAUAAAUUAUGAACUCCACUGUGGAAGGAUGCUCUCAUUCUGAAAUAAUAAAAACAUGCACAUUAUCAUUGAGAAUAUGCAUUCAUUAACUCAUUCUUACAUGAUCAUGCCUGUCCUUUUGAUGAGUGGGAAGCUUCAUUUACAAACUCUUCUAUGCUUCCAAGAGACAUCAGCUCUUUCAGACCAUGAGUUCUUGAUUCUAUGCCUUGGCCUCUUAAUCUUCUCAUUGUGGCCUCCAGAUCUGGCAGACUUGAUUGAAAUCUUGUGAAAGAUUUUGUUGACAAUGUUUUGCUAAAAUAAUAAGAGAUAGAUUGAUGUUAUUGAUUGAUUCAUGGAGCAGACACAAAGAUGACACUCUCUUUGAAAUAAACAGAAGAUAAUCUGCCAAUAGAGCUGCCCAGUUCUUGGAAGUAGUGCGCCAGAAACAACGUAUGAGUAAGGUUAUAUGUUUUCGCCGCCUAGACACAUCAUCUGUCAUAGACAGUACUACAUGAUAGGUCAAGAAGUUCAUGACUCAUUUUUUAUAGCUAUUUCUGGCCAACUAUUUUAAAGAAAUUUACUUUUACUUAUUAUGUAUACUGUACUAUUGGACUUCCACUUCCAGUUUAUGAGGUAAUUCUGACUGUGUAUGUGUGCUUUAGCU